GGGUAGCCACUCCUAUAUAUUGUUUAGCAUGACUUUGUGGGGUAUGGAAUACCCCUUUGACCAGUUUGAGUCAGCUGUCCUGAGUCUGUCCCCUCCCAGCUCUUGCUGCAUCCCUAGCCUGCCCGCAGGCAGGACAGAGCGAG